CCUACGAGAGGCAGCAGUAGGGAAUCUUUCACAAUGGGCGAAAGCCUGAUGGAGCAACGCCGCGUGCAGGAUGAAGGCCUUCGGGUUGUAAACUGCUUUUAUAAGCGAGAAAUAUGAUGGUAACUUAUGAAUAAGGAUCGGCUAACUACGUGCCAGCAGCCGCGGUCAUACGUAGGAUCCGAGCAUUAUCCGGAGUGACUGGGUGUAAAGAGUUGCGUAGGUGGCAUAAUAAGUAGCUAGGGAAAUCUGGUGGCUCAACCAUUCAUACUAUUAGCUAAACUUUUAAGCUCGAGAGCGUUAGGGGUAACUGGAAUUUCUAGUGUAGGAGUGAAAUCCGUAGAUAUUAGAAAGAACACCAGUAGCGUAGGCAGGUUACUGGGACGGUUCUGACACUAAGGCACGAAAGCGUAGGGAGCAAACGGGAUUAGAUACCCUAGUAGUC
rnacentral:rRNA from 1 species